GUUACUGCACUCCAUGCCUCCUACGGAUAACGCCGCUAAUGGCUGUAGAGAGGAGACCAGCAAGGCUAAGCCUCGUGUUACUCUUCAUUGUGUGAGCUUGAGGACGUUCGGAGACCAGCAGAGAGAAAGCAAGAUUAACGUCAGGAGGGAUCCAAGGCUUCGGUCCUUCUGAAGAGAGAGAAUAAUGGCUUUAUGAGAAGCGGCUCUGGAAACACACGUUCUCCGGCAACAUCCUGCUGGGUAGAACAAUAUCUAGAUUUGCACCCGAGAUCCCAGCACAACGCGAGUCACACUACCCCUGGAGGUCUGGCUAAUACGCCCGUCCCGCUGUCACGUACCUGUCUCUUAAACGUGGUCAGAGGAUCACGAUCAGGUGAGUGAAAGUGCAGGACGAUGCCUUUGAUUCAUUUAUUCAUUAAUCGUUAGUACAGGUGGAGAGCGGAGAUACACAGCGGUGAAUAAGAACACAAAGACACGCCCUUAACUCGUAUAAACUCCCGCUCACAUCCCCCCACCCCCCCACACACUGAAGCCCUCAUUUCCUCACUCCUCACUGUGAUAUUUAUUCCUCCUCUUCUUCAAGGUGCUCUUUAUUCUGCAGCAGAUGAUUGAUAUAAUAGGUCAGGCUAAAGACGGUAAAGCGGAAAAGCCAAGCGUGAGCGGUUUGGAGAGAAAAGGAGGACAAUGCUGAAGGGCCAAAACUGAAGAGAUCAAUGCAAUUCUGCUAGGCAAAGAUGAUGAAUUAUGGAGCAGCUUUUCUGCCAGUCCAAUGAAUAAUGAAUUGCAUGUUUACGUUCAUCAUUAGUCCUACGUUUUUUUUAAAUACGCGGCUUGAAUGACAAUGACAAAUUGAAAUCAUUUCCUCUUUAUGUGAAAAACUUUCUAGUUCUCUAGUGUAAAUCAAGGGUUAUGAUUUUUUCGCCCCCAAAAACUAAGUCCAAAACGCGGUCACUGGACACUAAAUGUUCGCAAACUUUAUAUCAUUGGGCUUAAGAUUACGUGAAGCGUCUGCCAUGCGAUGUCCGUGUGAAUGCGCCGUUUCUAUAGAAACGAUAACGUAUGCGAAGGAA